rnacentral:rRNA from 1 species
UACGUAGGUGGCGAGCGUUGUCCGGAUUUAUUGGGCGUAAAGCGCGCGCAGGUGGUGCGGUAAGUCUGUCGUGAAAUCUCCUGGCUCAACUGGGAGGGUGCGGUGGAGACUGCCGGACUGGAGGCACUCAGAGGCCGGUGGAAUUCCCGGUGUAGUGGUGAAAUGCGUAGAUAUCAGGAGGAACACCUGUGGUGUAGACGGCUUUCUGGACCAUAGCUGACGCUGAGACACGAAAGCGUGGGUAGCAAACAGG